rnacentral:tRNA from 1 species
UUCCCUGCUUCUCCACCAAUUAGUGCAUCCAUAGUUUAAACGGGAAAAUUACAGUCUUCCAAACUGAGGUUGAGGG